CAAUAAGCGGAGGAAAAGAAACCAACAGGGAUUGCCUUAGUAACGGCGAGUGAAGCGGCAAAAGCUCAAAUUUGAAAUCUGGCACCUUCGGUGUCCGAGUUGUAAUUUGAAGAAGGUAACUUUGGAGUUGGCUCUUGUCUAUGUUCCUUGGAACAGGACGUCACAGAGGGUGAGAAUCCCGUGCGAUGAGAUGCCCAAUUCUAUGUAAAGUGCUUUCGAAGAGUCGAGUUGUUUGGGAAUGCAGCUCUAAGUGGGUGGUAAAUUCCAUCUAAAGCUAAAUAUUGGCGAGAGACCGAUAGCGAACAAGUACAGUGAUGGAAAGAUGAAAAGAACUUUGAAAAGAGAGUGAAAAAGUACGUGAAAUUGUUGAAAGGGAAGGGCUUGAGAUCAGACUUGGUAUUUUGCGAUCCUUUCCUUCUUGGUUGGGUUCCUCGCAGCUUACUGGGCCAGCAUCGGUUUGGAUGGUAGGAUAAUGACUAAGGAAUGUGGCUCUACUUCGGUGGAGUGUUAUAGCCUUGGUUGAUACUGCCUGUCUAGACCGAGGACUGCGUCUUUUGACUAGGAUGUUGGCAUAAUGAUCUUAAGCCACCCGUCUUGAAACACGGACCAAGGAGUCUAACGUCUAUGCGAGUGUUUGGGUGUAAAACCCGUACGCGUAAUGAAAGUGAACGUAGGUGAGAGCUCUUAAGAGUGCAUCAUCGACCGAUCCUGAUGUCUUCGGAUGGAUUUGAGUAAGAGCAUAGCUGUUGGGACCCGAAAGAUGGUGAACUAUGCCUGAAUAGGGUGAAGCCAGAGGAAACUCUGGUGGAGGCUCGUAGCGGUUCUGACGUGCAAAUCGAUC
rnacentral:rRNA from 1 species